UAGGGUUCGAUUCCGGAGAGGGAGCCUGAGAAACGGCUACCACAUCUAAGGAAGGCAGCAGGCACGCAAAUUACCCACUCCCGGCACGGGGAGGUAGUGACGAAAAAUAACGAUGCGGGACUCUUCCGAGGCCUCGCAAUCGGAAUGAGUCUACCCUAAAUCCUUGGACGAGGAUCCAUUGGAGGGCAAGUCUGGUGCCAGCAGCCGCGGUAAUUCCAGCUCCAAUAGCGUAUAUUAAAGUUGCUGCGGUUAAAAAGCUCGUAGUUGGACUUCUAGUUCGGUCCGGCGGCCCAUCCAAGGCGUGCCCUUGUCAAUCGUGAUCGGGAUAUCUUUGGCUUCACCUGUCUCGGUGGUCGCGUGGGCGAGAGAAGUAAACGCAGCUAGGUGUCGUGUUGGAUAUCACGGAAAUCCUCGCUCUCUCCGCAGGUAUGCGCUUGGUGCGUGCGUCGCGGUGGUGGGAUCAAGGUGGCUGUGUUGUUGUUACUCUUGGGUUCUGGGUUCUCUCAGUUCCCAUUUGUAGUACUCAUGGUCAUCCCC
rnacentral:rRNA from 1 species